rnacentral:rRNA from 1 species
AUUGAACACUGGCGGCAUGCUUUACACAUGCAAGUCGAGCGGCAGCGCGGGGGGCAACCCUGGCGGCGAGCGGCGAACGGGUGAGUAAUGCAUCGGAACGUACCCUGGAGUGGGGGAUAACGCCGCGAAAGCGGCGCUAAUACCGCAUAUGCUCUGAGGAGGAAAGUGGGGGACCGCAAGGCCUCACGCUCUGGGAGCGGCCGAUGUCCGAUUAGCUAGUUGGUGACGGUAAAGGCUUACCAAGGCGACGAUCGGUAGCUGGUCUGAGAGGAUGAUCAGCCACACUGGGACUGAGACACGGCCCAGACUCCUACGGGAGGCAGCAGUGGGGAAUUUUGGACAAUGGGGGCAACCCUGAUCCAGCCAUGCCGCGUGAGUGAAGAAGGCCUCGGUUGGUAAGUACGUACUUUUGGUUCGGGUAAGGAAAGGUAGACC